rnacentral:miRNA from 1 species
UUCCACGGCAAUCUUGAACUG